rnacentral:rRNA from 1 species
GUGUCAGCAGCCGCGGUAAUACGUAGGCAGCAAGCGUUGUUCGGAGUUACUGGGCGUAAAGAGUGCGUAGGCGGUUUUCUAAGUUUGGUGUGAAAUCUCCCGGCUCAACUGGGAGGGUGCGCCGAAAACUGGAAGGCUUGAGUAUGGGAGAGGUAAGCGGAAUUCCUGGUGUAGCGGUGAAAUGCGUAGAUAUCAGGAGGAACACCUGUGGUGUAGACAGCUUACUGGACCAUCACUGACGCUGAGGUACGAAAGCGUGGGUAGCAAACAGGAUUAGAUACCCGAGUAGUCC